rnacentral:rRNA from 1 species
GCUUGCCAUCCCGUGCCUAUCUGUGAAAGCAGGAGUCUGCCUUCGGNCACACGGAGCACAGGUGGUGCAUGGUUGUCGUCAGCUCUGUGUCGUGAGAUGUUGGAUUAAGUCCCGCAACGAGCUCAACUCCCUGUCCUUAGUUACCAGCGAGUAAAGUCGNNNACUCUAAGGAGACAGCCGGUGAAAGCCGNAGCUAGGUGNGGAUGACGUCAAAUCAUCAUGCCCUUUAUGUCUCGNNCUACACACGUGCUACAAUGNUCAGUACAGAGGGAAGCGAAGUGGUGACAUGAAGCCAAUCUCAGAAAGCUGAUCCCAGUUCGNAUUGCAGGCUGCANCCUCGCCUGCAUNAAGCCGGAAUCGCUAGUAAUCGCAGGUCAGCAUACUGCGGUGAAUACGUUCCCGGGCCUUGCACACACCGUCCGU